rnacentral:rRNA from 1 species
GACGAACGCUGGCGGCGUGCUUAACACAUGCAAGUCGAACGAAGUGGCGAACGGGUGAGUAAUGCCUAGGAAUCUGCCUGGUAGUGGGGGAUAACGUCCGGAAACGGGCGCUAAUACCGCAUACUAUCAGAUGAGCCUAGGUCGGAUUAGCUAGUUGGUGGGGUAAAGGCCUACCAAGGCGACGAUCCGUAACUGGUCUGAGAGGAUGAUCAGUCACACUGGAACUGAGACACGGCCCAGACUCCUACGGGAGGCAGCAGUGGGGGAUAUUGCACAAUGGGCGAAAGCCUGAUGCAGCGACGCCGCGUGGGGGAUGAAGGCUUUCGGGUUGUAAACCUCUUUCGCUAUCGAACGGGUAGGUGGAGAAGAAGCGCCGGCUAACUACGUGCCAGCAGCCGCGGUAAUUC